rnacentral:lncRNA from 1 species
AUGCGCGAGGUUCCAACCAGGAACAACAUACAACAAAGAUUGCAUAAGGAAGGUAUCGAAACAUAGAUACUACGCUAUUAUAAGCAUUCAACUCACAUACAUUUACAUAUUACAUUCUUAACUCUUUUUAGCUUCCAAAUACAAUCCAAGUUAUUACAAUUUAUUACAACAUUGUUCUUUUCAUUUCUUUUACAUUCCUAAGUAGCCGACUCAGGGUACUGCUAUCUCUGGUCUCGGUGGUAGGGCGCUUUCUACGGAGCUACGCCCUUUCCUCGCACUGUCGCGCCACUCACAUGUGAACCUGUACCCCAAAAAUAACACGG